rnacentral:misc_RNA from 1 species
GGGACGACAAGAAUUUCAAGAGGAGUUUUCCUUGGCAGCACAAUUCCCUGCGCUUCAGUCAUGUCCACUGGCUCAUUUGUUGGCGUUUUCAUGUCAUAUGCCUGAAUCAACCUCGCAAGAGCCAAGUGCAGGACCUGCAUUGCCAAGUUCAGCCCAGGACAAGAUCUUCUUCCUGCGCUGAACGGUGCGUACUCGAAAUUCUGACCAGUAACAUCCAAAUUUGCAUUGGUUGUGAGAAAUCUUUCUGGAAUGAAUGCCUCAGGAUCCGACCAGAUAUUUGGGUCUCUAUGCAACUUCCAUAAGUGCGUAAACAAACGAGUGCCUUUAGGGAUAAAAUACCCUGAUACGAAACAAUCUUCAGCUGCCUCUCGUGGAACUCCUAGUGGACCUGGA